AAUUAGACUAGAUUUUUUUUUUCUUAAAUAGGUUUAGAUUUAAAAUUCAUUAUUGUUUCAUCAACUAAUAGAUGUAAAUGGGGUUUUUAUAUUCGGAGGUAUUAAGUAUGGAAGGUUUUGAUGAAAAGUUCCUUGAAAAAACAUUUGACUAUCUCGUCACACAUCAACUUGAAGGAAAUAAGUUUAUGGUUCGGAGGUUAGAAAUGCGUAAGGAGUGGCUACAUACCUUCGCAUCCAUAUUAGAUUAGAUGUUGGACAUGGUUUAUUGUUUUCUUUGGAUAAUUUUAGAUAUAUUUAUUGUUUGAUUUGGAUAAUUUGGGAUAUGUAUAUUGUUUUAUUUAUAUAAUUUUAGACAUGUU
rnacentral:lncRNA from 1 species